GAGGGUCUUCCUCUUUCCCCCAUAACCAUCCAUCCAGCUCGGGGUCGCGCUUCGCUCCUCUCCCUGGUCACAUGGGAUUAAACAGGGGAGAAAAGUUAGCGGCAGCGCUGCAGCGUUCCCACUGAGAAGACAGUCCACAAAACAGGUCUGAAGCCGGGAGCCGUCCUUCUCUCAUCACUGCCAAGUUAGCAGAAGCUGCUUUUACUGCCCUUUUUUUUUUUUCCUGUAUCCCAGUUAACACACAGCGGCUCCUUCAACCAACAAGUAUGCGGUACAGAAGUCUCUAAAGCGCGACGGGCUGCAGGGCUCUCCUCUAGAGAGCCGAGAAGGUACAACCUCCCUCCGGAGACCAGCGGACACACUCAGCCAAUCACGACCGUCCGCACGGCACUCAAACCCUCCUUCUGGAUGAGGGUCUCAUGUUACACCUCAAUGUGCAGACUUGUUCGACUUUUAACGACCCACGAAGCUGCAGCCCGCAACGGCAUGAGCAAGACACCUUUGUUUUAAAGCAAAAACCACUAGAAAAAACUUCAGUGUGAAAAGCUGAUUGAUAUCGACAGAAAUGGAGGGAAACCACUAUCCAACAUGCAGGUACUGACUAUAUAAACAAACAUUUAUUUUCUUUUUGGUCACUUCAAAAGCUCUGGCACUCUGUGCCAGUGGUUCCAAACAACCAUAUUACAUUGCUCUUGUGCAUAUUAGUUGUACAUAUGAGUUGCUCUUGUGACAAAUACUAGUGCAACGGCUGCAGUUAUUCAUUUUUAUUGUGUUGUGAAAAAGAUAUAAAUAAAUUGUGACUCUAUAAGUCGUCAAAGGAUAUAGGUGUGUUACAUCUUAGCUCAGAAGCGGAAAAUGUAAAUAUUGAAGUGGAAAAUGAACAAUGAUCAGUAGAAGUUGAAAUUACAAGUGAACAGUCAGAGUAGAUUUGCACUACUCUGAUCUAAUUUUCUGAUGUGUCUGUCUCUUAUAAAAAAAAAUUGAAGGGUAGCUUCAGCAAAAACAAACGGAAAACCUUUUUAAGUCACCCAAUUAAACUUGGCCCCCUCACUAUCUCCCAGAUUCCACCAAAUCUGUAUUGUAGAGCUUUUAGUGGUGGAGAUGUUCUUAAUGGGAACUGAGGCCCCAGAUCAAAUUCUGCUUAAGGCCCUAUACAACCUCGGGCCAACCCUGUUACUGAGUACGUCAGUUUCCAAAUCCCAACUGCUUCUCAUUUAUGGAACACAAACACUUAAUUUAGGCCUGAUGUUAUUAGUUCCAACUAUAGAAGUGAAUGAAACACAGCAUAAGUAUUCUUAUGCACUUAUUUCUCCUUCAUGGCCAUCCGCUUCAUACUGGGAGUUUUACAAAAACUAGUGAAGAUGCCCUAAGUACCCCAUGUUUGAGAACCAUGGUUCUAUGCCAGUGGCAUUCAAAGUAGAUAUUACCUCAGUGAACACUCCAAGUACCUCCUCCAUGGUUUACUCGAUUGUGUUUCGUGUAUUAAAAAAAAGAAAAUCGUAUCAAUGGUUGAAGGAAAUAUAGCAUGUACGGUGUUACAGACUUGAUCAAAGUUUAUUGUUGGAAAUACUAAAAAUAGGUCCCUAAAAAGUGGAAAUUUCUCACCAACCCCGACCUUAAAAUCCCCAUAUGGCUGCUUUGCCUAUAAAACUUAGAGUGAGCCGUCAUAAAAAUUGAUUUACUUGAACCUUGGCGUAGAAUGGCAGAUUUCUACUAUAUUUCUACCUCUGCGUGGUUCUACCCAUAAUAAUUAGCUGCAGCAGUGACUUGUCUCUUCAUUGUCAGAGCUGAAUUAACAGCACCGUAUGUCACUAUUAUGACUUUACUCUUAUGCACCACAUGUAUGUCAUUAGUUUGAAAAGAUCUUUUAGGAUCAAACAUGUUACUGUGAGAAAACUAAUGGUAGAUGGACUUACAGAGUUCAAGUAGUAGGACAGAUGGUGCCGUAACAAGAACAUUUUGAUAACCACAUUACUGUUGAGCAGUUAAAUCCACACAAGUAAAACAUAAGCCCAAUGUGUGAGGAAAAAAUUUCAUUUUUACUUCUUCCAUUCACUCAGGCUGGUUUUUAAAGAUUUUAGAGCAAGUACCAAACUUGUAAAUAUUUUUUUUUUCCAGCCAACAUACUGAAAACAGUAUUUCAGUGAGACUUGAACUUUUUUUUAGUUUGUUGUUACCACAAAGGUUGUUUGAAGUGAGAAUUUUAAAUGGGAAUAUUUGGAGGUUUCUCACCAACCCCUAACCUUAACAGUCAAAAUUACUUCCUUGCAUGCAAAACAUUGUGACAGCAGCCAAUGAAAUGGCUUAUUUGUACUUUGGAACAUUUAUAAGUUAUUUGAUCUUUUGGAAGCAUACAACAAUACAUGUGAGGAUAGUUGAAAGUACAAAAUGCCUUGGUACACAUUGUUAAUGACUUACCUUGCUAGUAGUUCCUAGCUUUGUCACUUUGUUCCUAGCUUUGAGCCUAUCCUUUAGCGAAGCAGAUUAUUGUACUUGACUAACAUGAGUUAGUCGUCAUUUCCAGAUCCGAUCUCACGUGGAAAUAUCAACUACCAUCACUUGUUACUAGUUCACUGUUGUCUGCCUCAGGUUGUGCUGUGAGUUCUCAAAGUUUUCUAUAUUGCACUACUCUUUCAAGUAGUUUCCAUUUGAAGCAAAGAUGAACAUAUUUAUUGCCUGCUGUUACAGUUACUUUGCUACUAAAGUAAUAAAUAAGUAAUCCCAGUAUUUUUUGUGAGUUGCAAAAUACCGUCGAAGUCUCAUCAGCACUUUGUGUGCCAUAGGUUGAGAACAGUGGCUCUGUGCCACAGAUAUAGUUAAUCUUAAUUUGUGUUUACAAGCCAAAUAAAAAUCUUUUUUACCCUCAAAGACUCACUGGCAGACUGGAUCUGUGAACCAUAUGUGUGUGUGCAAACUGAUAUUUUCACUUAAUUAAAAGCAUCCAUAAACAUCUUCAUGUCCAAGUGUUUCACACAUUCUUCAAUGAAGUGUGGGCACAAGAUAACUCAAAAUACAAAUUAAUCCCACUAAAAAUAUAAUUUUACAUCAAUUUCCUGGUCUUAUUAUCAAUUAGUCAUUUUGGUUGUGAUGAGUCUCUCCGCCCAUAGAACUGGUUUUUAGUUUAUCAAAAAGCAUAACAAAUAAAAGAAAACAGGCCAGGCUCUUGGGUAACAUAAUGUAAUAUUUUAAGUUGGGUCAUAUUAUGAUAACGCUGCAGGCAUUAAAGUGUUGAAACAAAAUGUUAUGUAUUAUAAAUAUCCAAUAAACUGUACUGUGUACUGAUCACCAAUAUACAUCAUUACUUUUUGUCUAUACAAGUUAAAAAUGUUGAAAAGUGAACGGUAAAACAACUUCUUCAACAAGACAUAUACCAAUGUGUAAUAGUUUUUUGUUUUUUUAAUUCACCAAUCAGCUGACUAAAGGUGAAACAUGGGCAAUUACCCACCAAAUGACUGUGACACAAGUUCAUCAAUAUAUAAACAAUUAUAGAUUUGCUUGUAAUAAAAAUACAUCAUCUGGCCAUUCCUUCUUUUUGCAUAUUCAAUACUACAAAUUCUAACAAAGGACCUGAGACAUUUUUAAUAGUAAUUAGAAAGAAGAAACAUUAGAAUUGGCAGCUCAGACCUUAAAGGAAUCAGGAAAUCUGUAUCAGCCAGGAAAAGCCUGAUUCGUGUAUCUUAAAUAGUACAUGUUGCUAACACAGGGUUAACACCCUGCUAAAUCAGAAACAAGAAGAGCGUUUAAUUUUUGAUUAACGGCUUAAUUUUAAUGUUAGCUUUAGCGUAUUAAGUGGUAUUUAAGUGCAUUUGGAUGAACUGCUACUGAAGCAGCACAUAAUCAAUGCAGGGAAAACUAACUUGUCUGCUGACAGUUCAAUCACUUUGAAAACUUUCCUCAGAUAACCAUUUCCAACUCCACUUCUAUUAAAGACAUCUUCUUGAUUAGCUUUCAUUUUCACAAAUGGCUGCACUGGUGCUGCCUUUCAUUGCCAUUUAAGCUGAAACCCCACCUGAUGGAUGACUGCAUAUACGCUCAGGUUGUGGCUGGCCGUACAGUAUUUUUCCACAGGAGUGGAGAACGUCUGUGUGGUUGCUGUCCCCUCUUGCGGGUGAUGGAUAUGUUCCCAUACAAUGAGGUCUGAGCCUACACAUGUUUUUCAACAAGGGUGGCCCUGUGCAGAGGCUUACAUCCAACACUAAUAUGCCGAGCGCUCACAUCUGAAAUGAAUGAGACCAGCUGAAAGCUCUAAGCUGCUGCUCACUGAAAAUGUUUUUGAUAUAUCAUGGAAUGAUUUUUGGAGCUAGUGGCAGAAAGGCUGUGGCUGCUGCACAACCUGGGAGUUAAAUUGUUGUUUAACACCCUGAAGGCUUUGAUGUGAAUAUUUUUAUGAUGUGUUACUGGUUGACUGCUGGCUGGAAAAGCCCCAGAGCAAACGGAGUGAUCAUGUGUGUUCCAUUUUUUUUAAAGUCCGUUGGCAUAUAGUUUACUUAGACUCAUAAUUAGUUAACAAAUGAUGUUGUUAAAGCUCCCAUGGAUGACAUAAAUGUCAGUAAAUGAUUAUAAGAAAAUUCAAAGGGAAUUCUGGUUGUGGAGAAGGCACAGAAGUUAAAGUUAAACAUAUCUUCUUGCUAUUAUCUUGAAUUAUAUUAGUCCCAAUUACUAUAAACACUUUUUUUUUUGCUUUCAGUAUUUUAUUUUGUAGUUUUACUGAGCUUUUUUUUUUUUUUUUUGCAUUAUGUGUUGUUUAACUAAAGAUGAAUAACAGUUUCAGAUAUUCACCAGUAUCAGAUAUUCUGUUUCAAAACCACUGUUAUUUUCCAUCAUAUCAAUCCUUGCAGAUGGGAGUCAUAUAGGAGAUGCCAGGGAAUAUGCUGCAGUGACAAAAGUUUUUAUUAACUGUAUAUGGAGCAUAACAUACCAGUGUGGCUCCUCCUCUCCCCACUUGCUGCAAGUGUGCAGCAAAAAACUUUAGGUGUUUGGAAAUAAACACCAUCAAUAUGUGAUAAUGUUAUCCAAUGCUUAUGUUUUACAAGAAAUAAACAACCAUCUUACUGAAGAGUGGUGAUGUCAAGCUGGUUUAAAUUUGAAGCUUUGACUUUGCUAUAUUGAUCUUGAGCACAGUGAUACACGGACAACAAUAGAUUUAUUGUGCAGCCUUAGUGUGGAGGCCGGAGGAGGAUUACACACAUUUACAAGAUAUCAAUGUUUUCAAACUACAGUGAGCUUGAUAUCUUUUCAGCAACCAAACAGAGCAGAUCACAAGCUAUAAAACUGGGCAAUAUCAGCUUGUUGUAAUCUCAAUGUUUCCUUUAUAAAGAGUAAAAAGCACAAUUCUGUAAAAUGUAAAGCUUGGCUAUAAAAUAGUAAAUUUUGGACAGAGUUUCGAGUAAUGUUAAUUAGUCAUUAAAAAAUGAUGUUAAUCUCAUUCAAGAAAAUUACUUUGUAAAUGUAAUGCUAUUUGUUGAAAUUUGAUCUUAUUAACUGCUUAUUUUUACAAGUUGUGCCUAAAAAUGCACAAUUCUAAUUUAACUCAAGAUGGUGGCUCAGACAAAUGUUUUUCCCACUCUUUAUUGGUUUUCAGCUGAGAACAGCUUGAUAGAUAUGAUUAUAUUGGUUCCAGCAUGAAUUAAAACAAC